rnacentral:rRNA from 1 species
UACAGAGGUCUCAAGCGUUGUUCGGAAUUACUGGGCGUAAAGGGCGCGUAGGCGGCCUGCUAAGUCGGACGUGAAAUCCCUCGGCUCAACCGGGGAACUGCGUCCGAUACUGGCGAGGCUUGAAUCCGGGAGAGGGAUGUGGAAUUCCAGGUGUAGCGGUGAAAUGCGUAGAUAUCAGGAGGAACACCGGUGGCGAAGGCGGGUCUCUGGG